UACGUAGGGGGCUAGCGUUGUCCGGAAUCAUUGGGCGUAAAGAGCGUGUAGGCGGCCCGGUAAGUCCGCUGUGAAAGUCGGGGGCUCAACCCUCGAAAGCCGGUGGAUACUGUCGGGCUAGAGUGCGGAAGAGGCGAGUGGAAUUCCUGGUGUAGCGGUGAAAUGCGCAGAUAUCAGGAGGAACACCGAUUGCGAAGGCAGCUCGCUGGGACGUGAACUGACGCUGAGGAGCGAAAGCCAGGGGGAGCAAACGGGG
rnacentral:rRNA from 1 species